UCUGAGGCAGCAACGCCGCGUGAGCGAUGAAGCGCCUUCGGGUUGUAAAGCUCUUUUCUGGGGGAGGAGGAAGGACGGUACCUCAGGAAUAAGUCACGGCUAAUUACGUGCCAGCAGCCGCGGUAAUACGUAGGUGGCGAGCGUUAUCCGGAUUUACUGGGCGUAAAGCGCGUGUAGGCGGUUUCGUAAGUCGGAUGUGAAAGCUCCUGGCUCAACUGGGAGAGGCCAUUCGAUACUGCGGGACUUGAGGUCGGGAGAGGGACGUGGAAUUCCCGGUGUAGUGGUGGAAUGCGUAGAUAUCGGGAGGAACACCAGUGGCGAAGGCGACGUCCUGGCCCGCACCUGACGCUAACACGCGAAAGCGUGGGUAGCGAACGGGAUUAGAUACCCCGGUAGUCCACGCUGUAAACGGUYMWUGCUAGGUGUUGGUGGCUAUCSUCAUCAGUGCCGUAGCUAACGCGUUAAGU
rnacentral:rRNA from 1 species